rnacentral:misc_RNA from 1 species
GUGAAUCAUCGAAUUUUUGAACGCAAAUUGCACUCUCUUCGGAGAGUAUGCCUGUUUGAGGGUCAGCCUAAAAAAAAAUCGACAUAGUUGCUGUUUUUGCGGUGACAUUCGUCGGAAAUUGGGACAUCUUAAACCUUUGGGUUUUAAUCUGCUUAAAAUUUUUUUUACGAUUCCACGAACGUUUAUAAGAUUUUAAUUCUUACACGUUUAUGGUAUCGAUCUUAAUUAGACGUGGCUGUUGCAUUGGCUCAUGUCCAUAAAUAUUU